rnacentral:rRNA from 1 species
UUGCGGUUAAAAAGCUCGUAGUUGGAUCUCGGCAAGUAGAGGGCGGUAUGCUUCGUAGCAUUACUGCCCUAUUACUUGUAGUUUUGCCAGAGGUUCCUGGGUGCUCUUAAUCGAGUGUCUAGGGAUGCUGGCAGGUUUACUUUGAAAAAAUUAGAGUGCUCAAAGCAGGCUAUUACGCUUGAAUAUUCGUGCAUGGAAUAAUAGAAUAGGAAGUUGUUUCUAUUUUGUUGGUUUUCGGAAAUCGACUUAAUGAUUAAUAGGGACAGUCGGGGGCAUUUGUAUUCAAACGACAGAGGUGAAAUUCUUGGACCGUUUGAAGACAAACUACUGCGAAAGCAUUUGCCAAGAAUGUUUUCAUUAAUCAAGAACGAAAGUUAGAGGUUCGAAGGCGAUUAGAUACCGCCCUAGUUCUAACCAUAAACGAUGCCAGCUAGCGAUCUGAGGACGUUUUUUUUGUAGACUCCUCAGGAAGCUUCCGGGAAACCAAAGCGUGUGGGUUCCGGGGGAAGUAUGGUUGCAAAGCUGAAACUUAAAGGGAAUUGACGGAAGGGCACCACCAGGAGUGGAGCCUGCGGCUUAAUUUGACUCAACACGGGAAAUCUCACC